AACGCACGAGACCUGCGGACCUGCGGAAGGAUCAUUAAUGAGUUGCAAAACUCCCUAAACCAUUGUGAACCUACCUGUACCGUUCCUUCGGCGGGCGGCGUCAAGCCCUAACCCGUCUCCCUUUACGGGGGAUGGACCCGCCGGAGGCUCCUAAACUCUUAACUUUUGUUGGCAUCUCUGAGUAAAUCAAAAUAAGUCAAAACUUUUAACAACGGAUCUCU
rnacentral:misc_RNA from 1 species